CAGGCCUUAUAGCUGUCUCUGUAUCUGUAUCUGUGUAUCUCGUAUCUGUAUCUAUAUCUAUAGCCGUGCCCUGGUGUCUUGUAUCUGGUAGCUGAGGUACAUUUCUCUGUAUCUGGCAAUCUCUGUGCUAAAAUUAAUUUGUAGAAAAAUGCCCACACCGACGACCGAAGCAGCGAAGCAAUUGACUGCAUUUAUGCUUUAGAUGAGCGCGAAAAGUGCAGAGGACGCGGAUGAUGGCGAGGAAGAUGCUGGCGCAGUCUGGUGGUGAUGCCUUGGCAACUACUUUGCACUUUGCCAGAUACUUAACUCGCAGCUAUUUACAAGUCAUGCUUGUUGCGAAUUCGCUUGACUGUGCACCAGGAUGCCCCAUCCCCAUCCCUACCCUAUAGCCAUCCCCCCGCCAUUUGGGCACAGAUGAAAUCAGUGCAUCUUGCACCUAUUUAUAUUCGCAUUUAUAAAUAAAUUGCGAUGCGAACGAGUUGUUGCCGUUGUAAUAAAUAUUCCUGCACACAGUGCGACAAACGAAA